AAGAGCCCAAACUUAAUAUAGAAAUAUAUUAAGGGUUUAGGUACGGCAAAGCGCGAGAAAUAGUUAGCGGAACGGUCUGGAAAGGCCGGUCGAAGAGGGUAACAACCCCGUACGCGAAAACGAAGAAGGAGCGCGCCGCAACCGGAGUACGUCGGGACACGAGGAAUCCUGACGGAAGAAAGGAGGACCAUCUCCGAAGGCUAAAUACGACCAUGUGACCGAUAGAGUAUAGUACCGUGAGGGAAAGGUGAAAAGCACCCCGGGAGGGGAGUGAAAGAGAACCUGAAACCCUAUGCUUACAAGCAGAUACAGCAACCGCAAGGAAGUGGUAUCGUACUUUUUGUAGAACGGGCCGGCGAGUUACGAUGUUAUGCGAGAUUAAGCGGUAAAGCCGCGAAGUCGCAGCGAAAGCGAGUCUGAAGAGGGCGAAUUAAGUAUAACGUCGUAGACCCGAAACCGGAUGACCUAACCAUGAACAGGUUGAAGCAGCGGUAAAACGCUGUGGAGGACCGAACACACGCCUGUUGAAAUAGUCGGUGAUGAUUUGUGGUUAGCGGAGAAAUUCCAAUCGAAUCCGGAUAUAGCUGGUUCUCCUCGAAAUAGCUUUAGGGCUAGCCUGUCGCAAGAAUACCGAAGGUAGAGCACUGUAUGGUCUAGGGGGUUUCACGACCUACCGAAACUUAACAAACUUCGAAUGACGGAUAUUUGAUGCGAUGGAGUCAGACGGCGACAGAUAAGUGCCGUCGUCAAAAGGGAAACAGCCCAGAUCCACAGCUAAGGUCCCAAAGUACAGGUUAAGUGGUAAACGAUGUGUCAUUGCAUAAACAACCAGGAUGUUGGCUUAGAAGCAGCCACACAUUCAAAGAGUGCGUAAUAGCUCACUGGUCGAGUGAUGAUGCGCGGAAGAUUACCGGGGCUAAAACCUGACACCGAAGCUUGGGGAUACGAGUAAUCGUAUCGGUAGAGGAGCAAUGUAUAAAGGCAGAAGUUGAAUCGGAAGAUUCAAUGGACGAAAUACAAGAGAGAAUGCCGGCAUAAGUAGCGAGAGAGAGGCGAGAAACCUCUCCGUCGAGAGUCUGAGGUUUCCUGGGGAAGGUUCGUCCGCCCAGGGUUAGUCGGGGCCUAAGUCGAGGUCGAAAGGCGUAGAUGAUGGACAACCGGUGCAAAUUCCGGUACUACCGAAAUUCGUAUAAAUGAUUGCAGUGACACAGGAAGAUAGUCGGACCGAGCGGAUGGAAAAGCUCGGCCAAGGCGUAACGAGGGCAUAGAGUGAAGUACCUAUGUAGGAAUCGGUGCGCUGAUGGGGACGUGAAGACAAGUAAAUAAGCCGACGAAUCUACACUGGCGAGAAAAGCUGCUAAAUAAGGAUGGAGGUACCCGUACCGCAAACCGACACAGGUAGACGCGAAGAAAAUUCAAAGACGAACGGGAGAACCCUUGUUAAGGAACUCGGCAAAAUGACCCCGUAACUUCGGGAGAAGGGGAGCCAACGCGAGUUGGUCGCAGUGAAGAGGUCCAAGCAACUGUUUACCAAAAACACAGGUCUCUGCGAAAUCGAAAGAUGACGUAUAGGGGCUGACGCCUGCCCAGUGCCGGAAGGUUAAGGGGAGAUGUGCAAGCAUUGAACUUAAGCCCCGGUGAACGGCGGCCGUAACUAUAACGGUCCUAAGGUAGCGAAAUUCCUUGUCGGGUAAGUUCCG
rnacentral:rRNA from 1 species